rnacentral:siRNA from 1 species
ACACUUGCCUCCAUUAAUCUGCA